rnacentral:tRNA from 1 species
GCCUCUGUGUUGUAGUGGGAGCCAGCCGCUCUCGUAACGCGGAAGCGUGGGUUCGAUUCCCACCGGAGGCUC